UAGGGAAUCUUCCGCAAUGGGCGAAAGCCUGACGGAGCAACGCCGCGUGAGUGAUGAAGGUCUUUGGAUCGUAAAACUCUGUUAUUAGGGAAGAACAAAUGUGUAAGUAACUAUGCACGUCUUGACGGUACCUAAUCAGAAAGCCACGGCUAACUACGUGCCAGCAGCCGCGGUAAUACGUAGGUGGCAAGCGUUAUCCGGAAUUAUUGGGCGUAAAGCGCGCGUAGGCGGUUUUUUAAGUCAGAUGUGAAAGCCCACGGCUCAACCGUGGAGGGUCAUUGGAAACUGGAAAACUUGAGUGCAGUAGAGGAAAGUGGAAUGCCAUGUGUAGCGGUGAAAUGCGCAGAGUUAUGGAGGUACACCCGUGGCGAAGGCGACUUUCUGGUCUGUAACUGACGAUAAUGUGCGAAAGCGUGGGGAUCAAACAGG
rnacentral:rRNA from 1 species